rnacentral:rRNA from 1 species
GAUGAACGCUGGCGGCGUGCCUAAUACAUGCAAGUCGAGCGAACAGACGAGGAGCUUGCUCCUCUGACGUUAGCGGCGGACGGGUGAGUAACACGUGGAUAACCUACCUAUAAGACUGGGAUAACUUCGGGAAACCGGAGCUAAUACCGGAUAAUAUAUUGAACCGCAUGGUUCAAUAGUGAAAGACGGUUUUGCUGUCACUUAUAGAUGGAUCCGCGCCGCAUUAGCUAGUUGGUAAGGUAACGGCUUACCAAGGCAACGAUGCGUAGCCGACCUGAGAGGUGGAUGAGCCACACUGGAACUGAGGAAGGGUAGAGACGACGACAGGAGGCAGCAGUGGGGAAUCUUCCGGAAUGGGCGAGAACGUAAAGGAGCAAAGGCGCGGGAGUAAUAAAGGUCUUCGGAUCGUAAAACUCUGUUAUGAGUGAAGAACAAAUAUGUAAGUAACUAUGCACGUCUUGACGGUACCGAAUCAGAAAGCCACGGCUAACUACGUG